rnacentral:misc_RNA from 1 species
UGUGAUUUUCAAUGAAAAAUUUUAAACAACUGUCAAAACUCAUAAGUUUGUGCAAUAUUUGCAAUUGUUUGUUGCUUACUUUUAUUUAUAGCCACCUGUUGUGUACAUUCAUGGAAAUAACUUGUUUCAUAUCACCAAAAACAUGUUUUUUGUAAUUAAGAUGUAAUUUGAUAAUAAGAUUGGGGCAUUUUAUUAACGGGAGAAACUUUGGUUUAUAUUGUGAUAAUGUGAGUGCUUCUUUACCCGAGAUUUCUUUUCUUAACCACCAAAGUAGUGUGUAUAAAUAUAAUGUGGGGAUAAAAAUUAUUGCGAGAUAUACCAUAAAUGUAUUAGUGUAUGGACAUUAUAUGUACACUCAAUGGUCCAAGUGCAAAUUGUCCUAUAUACACCUAAGGUACUAUAGGAUGUUCACCCUUGGUCUACAAUCAAGUACUCUUUAUCUGUUUACAUUCCAUAUAUAUUCGACACUAUAUUUAUACUCUUAAUUGAUUUCACUGAGACAUGACAAGAAUAGAUAUUCGUAAAACUAAAAUUGAAUUGUGAUAAUUCAGAAUCUCAGAUUUGUGCAGUGGAGUGACUGAAUUAGUUAUUUCUGUUUGAUUUCAUUUCAUUUGGUACAAGCACUUGAAACCUUGGUUUUAUCUAACUCUUAAAUUUCAACAAAAAAUGUAUAAAUACAUGUGCUGUAGUAAAUAUUGUUGGUUUUUAUCUCAUCGACUGUAAAUACAUCCCAGAUGUAUCUAUCUAUAAAGCUUAGUAAAGAAAAUUGUAAACAUUGUUUUUUGAGAUUGACUUAUUCUGUACCUCUGUGUCAUAUUACACAAACAUGAGAAUAACAAUGAGAGUGUUACUUCUGAUCUCUGUUUUGUUGUUGUUGUCUCCCUUGGACAUGACCGUUGUAUCCUACUGUUUAGAAAUCCAUUUUUUAAUUUAGAAUUGAAGGAAUUUUUUUUAAUGGAAUAUUGGUGUCUGCUGUAUGUCUUGGCAUAUAAACAAUGAAAUAUUCUUAUGUGAGAGUAGGAAGUACCGGUAGGUACUGCAAAAAUAAAGACCAUCAUCGACAAUGUUAGGAGUCGAGAAAUUUCAGUAUUUGCUUUGUUUAAUCUUCCAAAAAAUUGUUUCAUUAAGAGUUUCUUUCACAUUAAGAAGCUGGAGAUUCUGAAGAUGUUUUACACGUGUGCUAAGACAUACAGCAUAAUUAGUAGUUUUAUAUUGAGUUUUAUUUAUUUUCAUAAUAUAUUGUUUUUGUUUUGUCAUUAGUUUUGUAGGUAUAGAAAUUAUGGGAUAAAAUAAAACACAAUUCAGUAC